GUAAGUGAAUAACCCGGAUAAAAACUUGACCCAUUUACAUAUACCAUCACUGCUAGAGACGAAAUCAGAGUAUUAUUGUGCGAUUAUCAACAUAGCAUAAAGUGAAGCGAUCGCGAAGAAAUGUAAGUAUCUUCAUAUAUAGUAUCUCUAUGUUUAGUGAAGUGAUUUGUGUGUUUUUACUUUACAUGUAUCGCUUAAUUUAUGAUGUCCACUACCUGUUUGAUGAAUCGAUUUUGUUAUAUUCAUGUUCACACACUUAUUUGUUUGCACAGGAGUUACAAGUGCACAUUAGUUGUGUAUCAUAGUGGACAUUUUCUGCAUGUGCCAUAUAGACAUUACUUAUCAAGAACGAGUAAGGCUUAUAAUGAUGUUGAACUUGAAAAUUAGAUGGUUUGAGGAAUUGAAAGUAGCUUUAGGUGAUGUAGUGGGAGAGUUUGAUUCAUUAUAUUAUUAUAAAGAUGGGAAAAGUGUUAGUGGUGGGUUUUCUCUUUUAAGUGUGCUACUAUGAGUCAUAUGAAAGCAGUGAGUAAUGGGGUUGUAACGUUAUUUGUUUAUCAUGUAAGUCCAAGUGGGAGAGAGGUUGGGAAAGAGGUGGUAACUGAAUAGGAGACUCCGGGAGAGAUCGAUAGUGAUGAACAUGGUUGCAGCGAUGAAGAGUUUGUUGAAAUUAGGAGAGCUCCCAGGGCAGAUAGGAAAGAAUAGAAGAAGAGGAAGAUGAACAUUUAAGAGAGUAUGGAGAUUUAGGCAGUGAUAAAGAAGGGUACUCUUUAAGUGCAAAUAGUAGUGACUCAAAAUAUGAUGUUGUGGUGAGUGAGGAUGAGGAGGAGGGAAUGUGCUAUGCUGAGCCAACAAAGAAGAAAACAACAAAUUUUGUUCCGAAAACUUUUAAUAGCAACACACAUGCCAAAGACAUAAAGGGGGAAGUAGGUGUGAUUUUUGUGGAUAAAGAACAAUUUAAAAGUGCAGUGAGAAAUAGUAGUAUGACAAGUGGGAGAUCAUAUAAAUAUUUAACUGAUGAUAAAGGGAGGAUGCAUAUUGUAUGUGCACAAGGUUGCCCCUUCAAAAUGUGGGUCAGCUACAUUAAAGAAAAGGAAGGUUGGCAGAUAAAAACAUUAGCUGAUGAACAUAAUUGUGUUUGGACCUGCAAAAAUAAACUUGUGACUGUGAAGUAUUUAGAGAAGCUAUUUGGAGACAGAAUCAGAAAAAAUCCAAACUGGAAGCUUAGUGAGAUGCAAGAUGAAUUCAAGAGGGUCUUAAAGGUUGAUAUUUGUGAGGCUAAAUGCUGCAGGGUUAGGCAAAAGGCCCUGUUAGCGCGCAGUUGCGAAAAAAAUGAAGGAACACUAUGCCAAUCUGAGGAGGUUUGGGGGGGGGGGAGAUCUUGAGAAGCAACAGAAAUAAUACUAUGAAAAUCUCCACAAUUAGACUACAAGAAUUGGAGAGGGCAUCAAAGGGAGCUGCUGAAAAGAUGAAAGAGUUAAAUCCUGCAGUUUGGUCCAAGGCAUAUUUUGGCACUCAUUCUUGCACUGACAGUACAGAGAACAACAUGAGUGAAUGCUUCAACUCAUGGAUUCUAAAAGAGAGGUACAUGUCUAUCAUAGAUAUGUUUGUUGAAAUUCAUGACAAGCUUAUGGCUAGGAUACAUGAAAAAAGAGAUGACAUGGUGAAUAAGGAUUGCAUUAUUGUGCCAAUAAUUAAAAAAAUGCCUAAUUAUGCUAUCAAAGAAAGUGUAGGUUAUAAGGUUUUGUGGGAUGGGAGAGAGAAUUAUACAGUGAAAAAUACAACAUGUUCUUGUCGAGUCUGGGAAGUAACUGAAGUACCAUGUACUCAUGCAGUCAGUGCCAUUCAACAUAGUAGAAAAAAAUCCAGUAGACUAUGUGGCUAAAUGGUUCACCAAAAAGACCUAUAUGAGACCUUACAGUUAUACUCUAGAGGCCGUCAAAGGUGAAGAGUUUUGGGAGGAUGUUGAGGGUGAUGAUGUGCUACCACCUCUUAUUUCCAAAGUACUUAAGGGCAGACCUAAAAAAUUGAGAAGAAGAGAAGGGUGGAAAGGGUCUAUUAGAUGUGGUAAGAAACAAAGGAUAAUGUAUACUGGUAAAAAAAUGCAUUGUGGGAUUUGUAGAAAGGAAGGACAUAAUAGAUCUAAUUGUCCAGAUAAGCCACAUAAUUAUCAACCACCGCCUAAGAAAAAAGCUAAAAAUAACAAGAAUGCAAUUAAAGAAGAAGAGGAAAUUAGGGAUGAGGUAGAAUUGCAAGGUGAAGAAGAAAUCACCGAUGAGGCAGAAUUAAUGGAAAAACGCUAAGAGGAAUUGCCGAUGAAGAGCCUCCAUGCCAGAAAACCGCAAGUUUGGAUGAUAUUGAGAAAUCUUUGAGGGAGCAAGAUAUACAAAAUCAGCAGAGUAGCAUGAACAAGAGUACCAUGAAAUUUGUAAAUUUUUUAACAUUUUUACUAGUUAAUUAGUACUUUGUAAGGCUUGAUUAUUGAUAUUUGUGUUUGUCAUGUUAGAUGCCUACACCUAGUCUCAAACACUGUGAUAUGAGGUCUGGUAGUACUCUUCCUGCAUCAACUGCACCAGAUGUUAUAGUGAAAAGAAAAGCUAAGGGGUGCAACCAACUUGGAAGCUCACAGUCACAGUCACAUGGACUUGUCACACAAGCAAAGACAAAGACUGGGAACUCUCCAGUGAUAAGGAAUAAAGCUGCUAAAUCUAAGAUUCCAGUGAAGCCUUUCUCAGCACCAAGAAAAAAGAUUUAGUCGUGGAUCAAGUAUCUUUUGCUAAUAUUCUGAUUAUGCCGCCAUACUUAUAUUUUGGUUUCAUGUGUUGGCUUUAAGACUAGUUAUAUACCUUUUGUUUUAUGUACUCAAGAUUGCUGGUAUUAAGAUUUAUUCUUAUAUUUUGUUGUUGCUAUCAAAGACCAC
rnacentral:lncRNA from 1 species